rnacentral:rRNA from 1 species
AGAGUUUGAUCACGGCUCAGGAUGAACGUUGGCGGCGUGCCUAAUACAUGCAAGUCGAACGAAGACUGUAGUAAUACUGUCUUAGUGGCGAACGGGUGAGUAACGCGUGGGUGACCUGCCCCGAAGUGUGGGAUAACAGUCCGAAAGGAUUGCUAAUACUGCAUAAUAUCCAAGAGAUUAGAUGCUUUGGAUUAAAGGAGUAAUUCGCUUCGGGAGGGGCCCGCGUCCCAUCAGCUAGUUGGUAAGGUAAUGGCUUACCAAGGCGAUGACGGGUAGGGGACCUGAGAGGGUGGCCCCCACAAUGGAACUGAAACACGGUCCAUACACCUACGGGUGGCAGCAGUAGGGAAUAUUAGUAAUGGGCGAAAGCCUGAACUAGCAACGCCGCGUGUGCGAAGAAGGCCUUCGGGUCGUAAGGCACUUUUUGAGAGGAUGAGGAAGGACGGUACUCUCAGAAUAAGUCUCGGCUAACUACGUG